AUUGAACGCUGGCGGCAGGCCUAACACAUGCAAGUCGAGCGGAUGAAGGGAGCUUGCUCCUGGAUUCAGCGGCGGACGGGUGAGUAAUGCCUAGGAAUCUGCCUGGUAGUGGGGGAUAACGUCCGGAAACGGGCGCUAAUACCGCAUACGUCCUGAGGGAGAAAGUGGGGGAUCUUCGGACCUCACGCUAUCAGAUGAGCCUAGGUCGGAUUAGCUAGUUGGUGGGGUAAAGGCCUACCAAGGCGACGAUCCGUAACUGGUCUGAGAGGAUGAUCAGUCACACUGGAACUGAGACACGGUCCAGACUCCUACGGGAGGCAGCAGUGGGGAAUAUGGGACAAUGGGCGAAAGCCUGAUCCAGCCAUGCCGCGUGUGUGAAGAAGGUCUUCGGAUUGUAAAGCACUUUAAGUUGGGAGGAAGGGCAGUAAGUUAAUACCUUGCUGUUUUGACGUUACCAACAGAAGAAGCACCGGCGAACUUCGU
rnacentral:rRNA from 1 species